UAUACCACAUUGUAAACUGUACCUAAAAGCACAACACGCAAUAGAAACGUGCUAUUGGAAUGCUUAUUUAUUUUCUGUUUACAAUAGACGAAUAUAAGUAUUUCUUUUUUUUUUUACGAAAGGAUCAAGGUAUUAAAAUUAUUCACAGUAUGUGGCUAGGUCUCUGUCGCGCUUAUCUUUUUUUAAUUAAGCAAUGUCUUUAUGUACGGUCGCGUCGCAUUAGAAGUUUCGUGAUUUGUAAUAUUUGAGCAGUUAUAAAGCGCUCUACAUCUCGGAUGAAAAGGAGAUUGUGAAGAGAUAUUUAUUUCUAACAUCAUAUCGUACUACUAGGCUGAUAUCAUUGCGUUUCAUCUACAACAUAAAUUGAGGUACCCUGACGCGUCUUAAGUAUUACACUGAAAACUACUUUAUUAAAUUAUAACAAAAAGUGAGAAAUUUAAUAAUUUAUUUAUUACAUAAAGUAAUAAAUUCAUUUCUAUUUUUUCAAUUAUUUGAGCCUAAAUAAUUGAAUUUAUUCGACUCCACGCUUAGCAUCGAAUUCUUCGAUUUAAGCUAUCACAUUUUUCUAUUAACUAGC